rnacentral:rRNA from 1 species
UACGGGGGGGGGCAAGCGUUUGUUCGGAAUUACUGGGCGUAAAGGGCGCGUAGGCGGCUUUUCAAGUCGGGGGUGAAAGCCCGAGGCUCAACCUCGGAACUGCCUUCGAUACUGCGGGUCUCGAGUCCGGGAGAGGUGAGUGGAAUUCCUAGUGUAGAGGUGAAAUUCGUAGAUAUUAGGAAGAACACCAGUGGCGAAGGCGGCUCACUGGCCCGGCACUGACGCUGAGGCGCGAAAGCGUGGGGAGCAAACAGG